GAUGAAGAACGUAGCGAAAUGCGAUAAGUAAUGUGAAUUGCAGAAUUCAGUGAAUCAUCGAAUCUUUGAACGCACAUUGCGCCCGCCGGCACUCCGGCGGGCAUGCCUGUCCGAGCGUCAUUUCAACCCUCAGGCCCGAACCCCCCCGGGGGGGGCGGGCCUGGUGUUGGGGCUCGGGGUCCGCGAGGCCCCCGUCCCCUAAAUCCAGUGGCGGUCGCGCCGCACCCUCCCCUGCGUAGUAGCACACCUCGCACCGGAGAGCAGCGCGUCCACGCCGUGAAACCCCCAAUUUACCAAGGUUGACCUCGGAUCAGGUAGGAAUACCCGCUGAACUUAAGCAUAUCAAUAAGCGGAGGA
rnacentral:misc_RNA from 1 species